rnacentral:misc_RNA from 1 species
UGAAUAUUUUUGACACUCUUCAUCCGGUUUCUGACAACUUGAGUUGAAAUACAUCGAACUCCUGACAAGACUGGUUCCUCAGAAGGAAUGAUUGAAGAACGAAAAACAGUGGCAGGAUUGGGAGAAAUCAGAGGUGUGGCGAAACGCCUUCCCUCACGCCUCAACGCAGCCAUGGCCAUUGUUGAUCCGAUUCGAUCUGAUCGGCACCUUCCUCCUCAGGCUUAUCCUCUUCGCAGAUCGACAAAUUUACGCUAGGGUUUACAGUCGCUUGAAAUGUCAGCUGAGACACAGUAAGGAUCCGAGUCGCUGCCCCGAAAAUGUUUUAAAGCUGGAUGUAAUGCGGUGUCG